GAGCGGAGGAAGGGGAAGGCGGUGGUCGUCGUUCGAGUGGCCUCCUCAGGGUCAGAGUUGAGAAGGGGUGGUGGCUGCUCCUGCCUCCUCCGGAUCCUAGGGCCUGGACCAGCUUGUUCUGAUGCACUGGGUCGCGGUAGCAGAUAAACCAUGGGAACAGCUCUCCUUCCCUCUGCCUUUGAAUUUGUGUGGGGGGCCAGUGUGAGCAGUGAGUGCCCUCACCGGAUGCCCAGGUCCCAGAUGGGUCGCGUUGCACUGGCUCCUCCAAUGUGACUGUCAGGUCUGUUUCCUCUUCGCGACCCCACCUCGCCCCCCACCCCCCAGGUCGCUAGGGGGGCUGCAGCAGGCACAUUUCUGCCCUGCCUGUUUGGGAGUCCUGGCAGAGCCUUCUUGCAGGUCACAACCCGCCUUCUUGGGGGUUCCAGCUUGAGGGGGAGAGGGGGAGCAGCAAGGUCUCAAAUAUGCCCCUGAGGCUUCUGCUUGCCGUCCUGAUUCUCUGCAACUGAGCCUGUGGGGCAGACCCUUGGCUCUGGUCCCUGGGCAGCUCCUCUCGGUUGGUUGUCCCCACUAACACACACAGAUCUCAUACUUGGGUGGAUGAUGGAUAAGGUUGGUCCCUGGGGAAACGCUAGAAAUUGGAUCACUUGGUCUACCCAGUCUUGGAUAGUGAACGGAGCCUCCUGUGUGGACGGAAGCCCAAGAGGGUUGGACCAACCUCCAGCCCAGCCCUGGGUCCAGGUUGAGGUGGGUUUCAUCAUUAAAUGCUUCCUGCAGGUAAGGUUCCAGCUGUCCCCACUCCCAGGAGCAAGCUGUUAGGCUGGGUCCUGUCCACUUCUCUCUGGGUCUGUCUGUUACCUCCUGAGUACCCAUCAGCCCUUUGCCCUGGAUUUUGGACUCCCCAGGCCUUACCUGCAGGUCUUGAGCACAGCUAGUUCUGGACCUAUUCUAUCUGCCUUGUUAGAUCAUGUCCACCCUUCUUGGAGCCUGCUCUCUGUGGCUCCCCCAGCACAAGAGCCUUCAGGCUUCUUAAGUAAGUGGACCUUGUAGGUGCAUAUGGGUUCCAUGUGGAGCCAAACCCCUGCCUAUGUAUUUCAGUAAAUUCUAAGGAUUGCCCUUGGAGUCACCUCCAUGCUCCUCACAGACCGCAAACAUAGCUCCAAGGAUCCACUGCUGUCAGGGUUGGUUUGUGCAUAUAUGUGUGUGUGUGUGUCACUGCAGAUAGGCUGUUCUAGAAUCCACUUGGGCUGCAGUUCCAGCUACCAGAGGUACAGAAUUUCCCAGCCAUUCCACAGCCCCUGGUCACUCACACCCUCCUGGAGGCCUGUGGUCUGCCUGUCUCCAUUCCCCUCCUCUUUACCACUGUGCACAUGCAGCCUUGUACCUUCUCCCUAACUCAGCACCCAAUAUGCACUUUUUCAACAGGGUAUCUCUGCUCCCUAGGAUCUGAUCUUUAUUUUCUUGCAGCCCAAGCUGACCUUCCCAAACUCAUUCUCCUCAUAGUUCUUGAAAGUGUUCCCUCUUUUCAGCUCCUGUAAUUGGCCCCACUUCCUCCUACAAGGUGUUCUGAGUCACUCUUUAUCUGCCAACCAAGGAAUAGUCAGUUCACCGGUAGUUAAGGACAAGCCCUGUAGAGACUGAGUUGCACUGGCGGAAACACUGGGCAUGUGGAUCUAAAUGGCACAUGAGUCCUUCCAGCGCUGCUCCCAGGAGUCCCUCACUGGCAUAAGGCCUAUUGUUAAGGUCAUUUAGGACCACGUCUUCUAAGCAGCACCCACAGAGUGUCACCACUGUGGUACCCUAUUCCCGGCCCAGCUCUGACCUCCUAUUGUCCUCUUGGUCAGAACCAAGAAUUUCCUCCUCUGCUUCAGGGACCCCAAAGCAGGUGCCUCAGAGGGUCCUACUCCCCUUCCUCACUUUCCACCUUGCUCUGCCUCCAACCCUGUUUCUGGCUCACAUGCUCCCCACCCUCCUGCUCUGGUUAUCUCUCCAGAAUCUCUGAGCUCCUUCCACUGGGCCAGAACCCUCUCUCAGAAUGUCAAGCUCUUGAACUCCCACCUCCUCCAAGAAGCUUUUUUGAUAGAUUGGAAGGGACCUAAUACUCUUUCUGACUUCAGCCUUUCCAGCCUUUUCCCAUCAGCAACAGUGGCUACAUAACAACUUGGUUAAGGGCUGGGCUCUGGGUCUAAGAUGUGCAAGAUGGAUAUGGAUGGAAUUUUAAAGACAAGCAGACAAGCUAAUCAAAGAGAUCCAGAAAGAGUAACAACAUUGCUGUUGUAUAUAAGCCGGUGGCAUUGAGAGCUGAGAGGGAGGGUUAUUAUGUUUCUGCAGGGGGAGCCCAAGGGGAAUAAGCCUAGUGAAACCAGAAAGACUUCAUGGAGGAGGUGGGCUUCAUAGAAGGUUGGUGGCUUUCCCACAUUUGCAAGUGUACUCUUCUGGUUAGGUUAUGUUUGGGUUCAUAUUCUGAGAUUCAUCUAUCUUCAUUAUAAUAGUAUCUCUGUGUUGCUUCUCAUCUCUCCAUCUCCCUUAUGUUCCUCUGGGGCAGUGCUGGUUGUGUCAGACUUCCUUAGAUGGGAAAGCCCCUGAGGCCAGUCUCCUUGUCUGUCUUCAUUGCUCUGUAGGUUACCUAGAACAGUGCCUAUUCAGAUUACUGGUUAUUCCUGAAGGUUCUUUAAGGCAAAUACUCUAGGCCCAGACCAAGAACUGGAGGGCCUAGACUGAGGUUUUAGCCUGGAUAGGAUCUGGCCUUAUUGAUGAGUGCAUCCCAUCAGAUUCACCAGAGAUGCUCCUCUCACUCACCCAACCUGGGCAGGUGGGCCCCAUCUUUUAAGAGAACAUCUCCGGACAAUGCUGCUCACACUUUGCCUCCCUUUUGCUCUUCUUAUCUCCCUUCUGAGAAGCCAUAGUCUGGGAGGCAGGACACGGGAGUCCUAGUCUAUGGCUGCCAGUUGUAUGACCUUGGGGAAGUAAUUUCAGCUCUCUGGGACUCGGUUUCAUCAUAUUAAAAUGCAAGGGUUCUACGGAUUUGACUCUUAUUAUCAGAUAAAAAUGAAUAUUAAAAGAACAAGAUAACAUUUUAGGAAUUGGACUAGAGGAGGAUUCCUAAAGCCUCUUUCAACUCCACAGUUCUGAUUCUAAACAAAAUCUGUCCUGUGAAUCUGUUUCACUCUCCAGCUCCAGCCCUGUCUGCUUCUCCCUAAUCUGUUUCUGUCUGAUGGGCUCAGUCUUUGUGUGCACAGCAUCCAUGUGAGGCCUGCACUUCUGCGGUUCACCCCAGGAGAUGAAGGGGAGGGGAGCUUAGGCUCUCAGCAAUGUAAAUCUCCCUAGGUCCCUCCAAGCUUUAGAGGGGCCCCUGAAAGGUGAGAAGGCAAAGAAGAGGAGGGCAAGAUGGCUGAGGCCCAGGAUAUCCCCAGUAAACAUCAAAGGCCCCAGAAACCAAGGUCAUUGCACCUCCCUGUAGGGGCCCCUACAAGGAGGCUAAUGAUGACACAGGUUCUUAAAACAGCCAGGAUGGAGACCCAGCCUGGGCAUCUGAGUGCCUGGAUCCUGCUGCCCCCCCCCCCACCCUGGCACCCCCAACUCCCUUGCCCAUCAGUCUCAGCUCCUGAGGUGUGCAGAGGGGGUGGGUAUGCACGAGCCCAGACUUCUCUCCCUCUCCUGAGGACCUUACCCCAGGGGAGAAGUGGGUGGCUAAAACAAAGGAGGGGAGCAGAACCCCUCUACAGAUAACAGUGGAGGGGGGAGGGGGUAAGCAGAGAGAAGAGAGGAAUUGACAGAGGAGGUGCUGCUAGCUGUCAGGAGGGAGACCCAAAUUCUCAUGUCUUCCCAUUUCGCAGGCUGUUUGCUAGAAGGACUUAAUUAAGGAGCCCAAAUAUAGUUUCUUUUGAACAGUGAAUAGGGCUGGGAGCACAGAUGAGGAAUGUGAUGCUCUGGGGUGGGGAGAGAAGGGACCAAUGCUGAGAUGCUGGAGGGCCCAGGGUGAAGGGGACAGAGAAGACAGGGGUGAGCUGGUGACUCCUUUUCCCUGCCUUAAGCUCUGCUGCUUUCCUUGAUGGAAGGGGGGCCAUUUCUUCCUUUCCCAUCCUCUGUCCUGAUCUCCCUCCAACUCCCUGGCUCCUGCCUUCACCUCCUUUACUGUCCCCUGAGAACAGCUCUCUCUGUCCAGUCCUCCCAGCACUCACCAGAAGCUUUAAGUCUUGGUUCACCUUCUGCCUCCACCAAGCCCCCUUUUUGCCUCCUCCCUUUCGUCCCCCACUCCUUCUCCUCCCAGGCCCCGCUGGCGCCCAGCAUAGCACUACAGAUGUAGGAGCAGAUCAAGAAGGGUGGGGGUGGUAGCUGUUGCUUUUCUGGGAUAUUCUUAGCCUGUCUGGGGGCUGGAGCUGGAAUCAGCGUUUCCAUCUCAACCAGGCAGGUGGCUGCCAGAAACUGCCACUGUGACUGGGUCUUCAUCUGGUUCCAUAUCCCUUAUCCUGUCCCUUCCUCCUCUAUAUUGAUUUCAUCGAUGAACACAGACCCUCUGAGAGUCCAGCCUUCCCACCCUUGUGCCCUAGAUGGAAGGUUUCCUCUGCCUAUCAGGCAUAGCCCCAGGAAGGUGUGCAAACCUCACUGGAGGCUCUGCGGGGAAAGAAGGGCCUUCGAGAACUCUAGCUCAGAUGCUCCCUAGAGUGGAACACAGCCCUCUCCUCUCUGCCCCCAGGCCCUCUUCUUUCAUCUGCCCCCAGCAACCCCUGCAUGGUACUCAGUCCCCAGACUGUAUUCACCACCAUGAAGGCCUUUCUUAUCUUGAUUUACAGGAAUCACUCAGGGGCCCUAGAGUUUCAGAAGCUGCCUCCUGAAAGCGGCUGAACCCUGGAGUCCAGGCCUCCUUUGGGCCAGAACAAGGGGCUCACUGACCCAGAUCUCUCCCCACAUCUUUUUUUUUUUGAGACAAAGUCUCACUCUUUUGCCCAGGCUAGAGUGCAGUGGCAUGAUCUUCACUCAUUCCUGGGCUCAAGGGAUCCUCCCACCUCAGCCUCCCAAGUAGUUGGGACCACAGGCAUGCAUCACCAGGCCUGGCUAAUUUUUGUACUUUUUGUAGAGAUGGAGUUUCACCAUGCUGCCCAGGCUGGUCUCUAACUCCUGGGCUCAAGCAGUCUGCCCACCUCAGCCUCAAAGUGUUAGGAUUACAGGCAUGAGCCACCUCGCCCAGCCUUCUCAGAUGCCCUUAUCAGUAGAGGGAGGGGCAAAGAAGAAAUCUCACUCAUUCACAAAUCGCACAAAAAAUGUUUGUCACCUUAAGAGGGACAGACAGUGCAGGGUCUCCUAUGUGGGUUCUGAGGUCAUUCGGUCUAUGUUCAAAUCCAGCCCCUCCACUUAUGACCUGGGGCCCUUGGGGCAAGUUUCUUAAUUCUUCUGAGGUCUAUAAAAGUGGACCAUACAAGGUGCAGUAGGAAGAGAUCACCAUCCACAGUCGGGCUGAGGCUGAAAGCACGUACCAGAUCAAGUAUGAGGAGCUGCAGACGCUGGCUGGGAAGCAUGGGGAUGACCUGCGUUGUGCAAAGACAGAUCUCCGAGAUGAACCAGAACAUCAGCAGGCUCCAGGCUGAGACUGAGGGCCUCAAAGGCCAGGGGGCUUCCCUGGAGGCCGCCAUCGCAGAUGCCGAGCAGUGGGGGGAGCUGGCCAUUAAAGAUGCCAACACCAAGCUGUCUGAGCUGGAGGCCGCCAUGCAGCGGGCCAAGCAGGACAUGGCACGCAGCUGGGUGAGUACCAGAAGCUGGCCCUGGACAUCGAGAUCGCCACCUACAGGAAGCUGCUGGAGGGCGAGGAGAGCCGUCUGGAGUCUGGGAUGCAGAACUCUUGCUGAGGCUGGAAUGCAGUGGUGUGAUAAUGGCUCACUACAGCCUCAACCUCCUGGACUCAAGUGAUCCUCCCACCUCAGCCUCCUGUGCAGCUGGGACCACAGGCAUACACCACCAUGCCCAGCUAAUUUAGAGCCACUCUCCUGAUGCUCAUUAGCAAGCCAGCCUCUGGCCCCUCCUAGGCUUGGUGAUAUCACCCCUCACCUGUCGCAGCUCCUGCCUCUCUCUUCCCAAAAACCUCUGCAGCUUUCACUUCCCCAGCAUGAUCUUAGUUUAGGCUUUCACAAAAGACUGGAAGAGCAGUGGCCUGGAAGCAACAUCUGAAAUAUCAACUUUUUUGUGACCAGAGACACCAAGGGGGAUUGGCAAGAGGAAAAGAUGGAGUCGGAGGCUCCAGGCUCAGUCCUUGGAGCUCUUCUCUCUGUAUCCUCUUUCUAGGUGAAAUUCACCCAUAUGUUGAUGACAUUCAAAUUUACGUCUCCAACCUGGAUCUCUCUUUUAAACACCAGACCUACUUGAGAUCUCCACUUGGAUGUAUUAUAGGCAUUUCAACAUGGCCAAAACCAACUCCUGAUACUCCCUCCCCACUUGCUCCUGCUGCUGCUCCCAUCUCCGUUAACAGUAAUUCUAGUUUACUAAAUCUCAGAUGAAUGUUUUGGAGUUAUCUUUGACUCCUCUUUUUAUUUCACGCCCAUAUUUAAUGCAUCAGCAAAUCUGGAUGGUUCUGCCUGCAAAAUAUAUCCAGAAUUCAACCACUGCUCACUACCUCCUUUGCCUCCACCCUGGCCCAAGCCACCACUAUCUCUUGCUUGGUUUAUUGCAAUAGCCCCCUAACGGUUCUUCCUACUUCUUCCCUACCUGCAGUGCUUUCUCAAAAUGGUAGAUAGAGUGGUCCUGUUAAAAUGAAAGCCAGAUCAUGUCACUCUUCUGUUUAACACCCUCCAACGGCUCCCAUCUCUGGUAGAGGAAAAUCCCAAGUCUUUACUAUGACCUACAAGGGCCUAUUGGUAGAUUAAAGAUAGUCACAAAUUAUUUGACACUCUUCCCAUUGAAAGGUAUAUUGCUAUCUCCCUUUCCAUGACUUCUUUGACCAAUGAAAUAUGGCAGAAGUGGCCAGUCGCGGUAGCUCAUGUCUGUAAUUCCAGCAUUUUGGGAGGCCAAGGCAGGUGGAUCCCUGAGGUCAGGAGUUCGAGACCAGCCUGGCCAACGUGGUGAAACCCCGUCUCUACUAGAAAUAUGGCAGAAGUGCCACUGUGUCUGUUUCUGUGUCCAGGCCUUAGAAGACUGGCAUUUUCUAUUUCCUGUCUCUUGAAACACUUGCUCUUGGAACCUUCAGACACCAUGUAAGAAAUCCAGCUAUUCUAAUAGAGACCACAUGGAGAGGCCCUGAGACUACAUGGAGAGGAAGAGGGGCCUAGCUGAACCCAGCCUUCCAGCUAUCUCCCCCAGGCACCAAACAUGAGAGUGAAACCACGUGGAAUCCUACAGACCAACCCAUCUGCCAGUGAACAUCAGAGUGACCUUAUUUGAUGCUAGUAGAGCAGAAAAAAAUGCCCAGUUGAAUUUUGUCCAAAUUCCUGAUCCACCAAUUGUGAGAUACAAAAAGGUGGUUGUUUUAAGCCACAAAACUUGAGAUAGUUUCUCAUGCAGAAAUAGAGAACCAAACCAGCUAAUCCGACCUUGCCCCCUUCCAUCAUCUUCAUGACCUCAUUUACUGCCUUUUUUUUCCCUCAUGCCUCUCUAGUCAUCGCUGCUUCCUUGCAGUUCCUCAAAUCCUCCAGACCAGCUUCUGCCCAGGACUUUUGCAUGUGCUGUUCCCAGUGUACAUUCUUCCACCUGCACAUAAAUAAAGCAGUGUAAACUGUAAUUACUGUUUUGAGCCCUACUUUUUUCAGUUUAUAUAAAUCUUUCUGUUGGAAUAGUCUACUAAAACAUUUUUUUUUGAGACAGUGUCUUGCUCUGUUGCCCAGGCUGGAGUACAGUGACACAAUCAUGGCUCACUGCAACCUCACCUCCUGAGCUCAAACAAUCCUCCCUCUUUAGCCUCCUGAGUAACUGGGACUACAGGGGCGCAUCACCACAUCCAGUGAAUUUUUUAAAUUUUUUUGUAGACACAGGGUCUCACUAUGUUGCCCAGGCUGGUCUCAAACUUCUGGGCUCAAGCAAUCCUCCCACCUUAGCCUCCCAAAGUGCUGGAAUUAUAGUUGUGAGCCACUGUACGUGGCCUAAAACAUUUUUUAGUGGACACAGUGUUCAUUUGUGUGGCUAUUUGUUUUACCAACAUUUAAUUAUGAAAACUUUCAAAUAUACAGAAAAAUUGAGAGAUUUGUACAGUGAAAACACAUCUAUUUGCCACCUCAAGUCUAUAAUCAACCUUUUACUAUAUUUGCUUUAUCACAUAUCUAUUCCUCUAUCCAACUUGCUCUUUUAAAUACAUUUCAUCCUAUUCAACAUAGUACUGGAAGUCCUAGCCAGAGUAAUCAGUCAAGAGAAAGGGAAAAAAGGCAUCCAAAUAGGAGGAGAGGAAGUCAAGCUAUCUCUCUUUGCAGAUGAUUUUAUACCUAGAAAACCCCAUAGUCUCUGCCCAAAAGCUCCUAGAUCUAUAAACAUCUUCAGCAAAGUUUCAGUAUACAAAGUCAAUGUACAAAAAUCAGUAGCAUUUCUAUACACCAACAACAGUCAAGCUGAGAGCCAAAUCAUGAAUGCAAUCCUAUUCACAAUAACCACAAAAAAUACCUAUUAAUACAGCUAACCAAGGAGGUAAAAAAUCUGUCCAACAAGAGUUACAAAACACAGCUGAAAGAAAUCAGAGAUGACACAAACAAAUGGAAAAAUAUUCCAUGCUCAUGGACUGGAAGAAUCAAUAGUGUUAAAAUGCUCAUACUGCCCAAAGCAAUUUGCAGAUUCAAUGCUAUUCCUAUCAAACUACCAAGCACAUUUUCACAGAAUUAGAAAAAAAAAUAUUCUAAAAUUCAUAUGGAACCAAAAAGAGACCAAAUAGCCAACACAAUCCUAAGCAAAAAGAACAAAGCUGAAGGCAUCAUACUACCUGGCUUCUAACUAUACCAUAAGGUUACAGUAACCAAAAUAGCAUGGUAACAAAAACAGACACACAGACCAAUGGAACAGGCUUAAGAACCCAGAAAUAAAGCCACACACCUAUAAUUGUCUAUCUUCAACAAAGUCAACAAAAGCAAUGGGGAAAGUACUCCCUAGUUGCUGGGAUAACUGGCUAGCCAUGAUUGAAACUGGAUCCCUUCCUUUCACUAUAUACAAACAUCAACUCAAGAUGGAUUAAAGACUUAAAUGUAAAACCUAAAACUAUAAAAACUCUAGAAGAAAACAUAGGAAAUACAUUCUGGACAUAGGCCCCGGAAAAGAUUUUAUGAGAAGACACCAAAAACAAUUGUAACAACAUCAAAAAUUGAUAAAUGGGAACUAAUUAAACUAAAGAGCUUCUGUACAGCAAAAGAAACUAUCAACAGAGUAAACAGAUAACCUAGAGAAUGGGAGAAAUAUUUGCCAACUAUACAUCCACAAAAGUAUAAUAUCCAGAAUCUAUAAGGAGCUUAAAUCAAUAAGCAAAAACAAACAACCCAAUUAAAAAUGGGCAAAGGACAUGAACAGACGCUUCUUAAAAGAAGACAUAUAUGUGGAAAAACCAUAUGAAAAAAUGUUCAACAUCAUUAAUCACUAGAGAAAUGCAAAUCAAAAUAAUAAUGAAAUACCAUCUCACAUCCAUCAGAAUGGCUAUUAAAAAGUCACUGGGUACAGUGGCUCAUGCCUGUAAUACCAGCACUUUGGUGGUUGAGGUGGGAGGAGUUCAAGACCAGACUAGGCAACACAGUGAGACCCCAUCUCUACAAAACAAAAUUUUU
rnacentral:lncRNA from 1 species